UUCUUCUCUCAUUUCUUGUCUAAUCUCUUCUCUGAUCUCAGAUCUCAUCUCAUGCUUCAUCUCUUCCUUAAUUUAUUGAAAACAAUGUCCUACACAUUCACUCACCCGAGUAUUGAAGUCUAGAUCUUGAGGUCGAGAUAUCGAGCUGGAGGAAGCACCAACAUGCCCAUAGAAAGGAGCUUGAGAACCAAGACCAUAAAUGCGCGUCUUCUUAACACCAACUUCCUCCAAAUAUAUUUGUGAGAAAUCAACUUCAGGAAGCUCACCGGACCCAUCUUCAG
rnacentral:lncRNA from 1 species